rnacentral:rRNA from 1 species
ACGUAGGUCACAAGCGUUGUCCGGAAUUACUGGGUGUAAAGGGAGCGCAGGCGGGAAGACAAGUUGGAAGUGAAAUCCAUGGGCUCAACCCAUGAACUGCUUUCAAAACUGUUUUUCUUGAGUAGUGUAGAGGUAGGCGGAAUUCCCGGUGUAGCGGUGGAAUGCGUAGAUAUCGGGAGGAACACCAGUGGCGAAGGCGGCCUACUGGGCACCAACUGACGCUGAGGCUCGAAAGUGUGGGUAGCAAACAG